GAUGAACGCUGGCGGCGUGCCUAAUACAUGCAAGUCGAGCGAACAGAUGAGGAGCUUGCUCCUCUGACGUUAGCGGCGGACGGGUGAGUAACACGUGGAUAACCUACCUAUAAGACUGGGAUAACUUCGGGAAACCGGAGCUAAUACCGGAUAAUAUAUUGAACCGCAUGGUUCAAUAGUGAAAGACGGUUUUGCUGUCACUUAUAGAUGGAUCCGCGCCGCAUUAGCUAGUUGGUAAGGUAACGGCUUACCAAGGCAACGAUGCGUAGCCGACCUGAGAGGGUGAUCGGCCACACUGGAACUGAGACACGGUCCAGACUCCUACGGGAGGCAGCAGUAGGGAAUCUUCCGCAAUGGGCGAAAGCUUGACGCAGCAACGCCGCGUGAGUGAUGAAGGUCUUCGGAUCGUAAAACUCUGUUAUUAGGGAAGAACAAAUGUGUAAGUAACUAUGCACGUCUUGACGGUACCUAAUCAGAAAGCCACGGCUAACUACGUG
rnacentral:rRNA from 1 species